GUGUUCGCUUUAGCAGCACAUCUACUAAAAUUGGAAUGAUACAGAGAAGAUUAGCAUGGCCCUUGCACAAAGAUGACACCCAAUAAAGUAGAGUUAAAACUGAGUAGC
ensembl:snRNA U6 U6 spliceosomal RNA